CACACACACACACACACACACACUCAAGUACAGCAGCACACUCACGUACACCAACACACUCAAGUACACCAGCACACUCAAGUAUACCAACACACUCAAGUUGCGUGUACUGUCCUUUGCCUGAAAGGCCCCUAAGAGCGUGUAUUCUUUGUGUUUUGGGUUUUUUUGUUUUGUU